UGAUGGCUUAACAUUCUUGAGUGCCAACCAAACUGCACUGUUACAUUUGAAACCGCUCCCGAAAGCGAUCUGCCAAACCCGAUCCCCCUUCCGCAUCCGACCCUUCGCUUCCAUAUAGGCUAGCUCGUACCAGAUCGAACUCGAUGAGGUGUUACCGAACCUGUGAAGCGUCAUACGAGAAGCUUCAACAUGUACCGGGAGAAGGUGCAAAUUCUUCUCGAGCUCAUCGAUCACGGCUCUCCCACCGGCGUGUAUACAAAAAUGUUCAAACGCAAGCUUGAAAUCCGGGAUAUAAGGCUUGAUUUUAGCAUUGAUCAACUUGUUGGCAACUAAUGUGACAAAGAACAAGAUUUGUUCACUUAUAGGAAGAACAAGGGGACCUAACAAAGUAAUGUUGGACUUAAGUGCAUUACCAGCAAUCGUCAUCAAAUCUUUAGACAAUGAAACACCUGUUUUCCCAAUAUCAUCUUGUUCUUGUCGGACACAGUUAAACGCCUUAUCAUUAGCACCGCAAUGUGUACGUACCACAUGAAUAAGUUUAUACUUGCUUCUUCGUCGGUCCACUGAUUUAUUCGAUAAUAAAACCGCAGCACCACCGAUUCGAAACAAGCAGUUUGGUAACAACAUUGCUUUUUUGUUACCAAAAUACCAAUUUUGUGUAAUAUUUUCAGUACUAACAACAAUGGCAUAAUUGUUCCGAUGAACUUGUAACAUGUCUUUAGCUAAAUCAACAGAUAUAACACUAGCACUACAUCCCAUACCACCAAGAUUAAAGCUUUUAAUAUUACCCCUCAUCUUAUACUUGUUGAUAAUCAUUGAAGAUAAUGAAGGUGUUGGAUUAAAUAAACUACAAUUAACGACAAGAAUCCCAACAUCUUUUGGCUUAACAUUAGUGUUAGCAAAAAGGGUAUCUAAAGCACCAAACAUCACCUGUUCUGUCUCUUGUCUUGCAGCCUCCAUUGAUGGUUUUGGUGGAAGACAAUGCAUUGCUUCUGGUGCACAUGUUUCUUCUCCAAGCCCUGAUCUUCCCAAAAUCUUGUCUAAAAACACCAAAGAGGUCUCAUCAAAACAACCCAUUAGCUUACAAUGUUUCAUGAACCGGUCGUGUUCCACUUUUAGCUUCGAAGGAGGGAGAUAACAGGCAUAAUCCACCAAAUAAACGGAUCUUUUUCGGGUCAUAAAGUAAACGGUCGACCCGACCAAAACGAAAGCCGACAACACGACGACAUAGACAAGGUUAUGUUCAAGGUGAAGCCAUGUUUGGUGGAUGUCAUUAAGGCUUAACCUCGAUGCUUGAACGAUAAUAACAGCCAUUAAAGGGACUAAACAAAGCUUUAAAAGGUGUGUUAUGAGAUAAUGGUAACCAAGUUUAACGUACUUUAAUUUAAGUACCCUAUUGUUUGAAUGGUUUUUUUCACCAUUCAUGGUGAUGGGUGAUUCAGAAAAAGGGAAAAAAAAAAAACUGGGUUUUAAUUUUUUUCUUGAAAAAGCUAAAAGAUUUGAUGGAAACUAGUUGGAUUUUUUCGCUUGUUGUGAACAAAAGGGGGUAUAUAACUAUAUAUAAUGGACACAAUUAAGAGUUUGUAAUGAAAAUUUUGUGGGUGUUUAAAGAGGGUUGAUGAAGCAAUUACAGCGAAGACCGGCCGCCAUUAAGGAACACGUAGAGUGUUUUAUCACUAAUAUUAUUACCAGUUAAAAUAUACCAUAAGUCCCUAUACUCUUCCACAAUUUAAAAUUUAGUCUCUUUAUUUUUAUUAUAAGAAUUUUAGUCUUUUUACUUUUCAAAUUUAAAAAUAUAAGUCAAACUGUUAAUACAAUUAAAAUUAUUAUGUUAAAUUCUUGCUCAUUGUAACAUUGUUUUUCUUGUUGUUUGGCCUGAGUAUUUAAAUUAAAAAAAGAGAGUAAAGAAACUAAAAUUUUCAAAAUAAAAGUGAAAGAACUAAAAUAAAAAUUUAUAAAGAAUACAUGUACGUAUAAUGUAUUUUAACGUAUAUGUUUUAAAGAGCAAUGAUGAGAGGUUGGAGUUGGGGCGUUGGGCGUUGGGCGUUGUGCGAAUCUUCUUUGAGGUUUGGGUUAUCGUUUUUAUGCAUUUAUGGAGUUCCAUUGACAAUUAUGGACAUUUCCGGUCUAAGUAAAAUUAGGUUCCAGUGUGAAAUGAGUGAAAAUGUAUUAUAACUAUUAACUGUAUGAGAUGGUAAUUAUUAGGAUAGUGAUUAGACCUUCUAGUAAUUUUAAGGAACUCUAAUUUUCGAGAUGUGAGUGAUUAAGAAUGUGACUAGCGCGACUCGAACUCAGGUCACACUUGAAGCAGUGAAGACUUUUAGUAAUGGUUUGAGGCAAUCAUAAAUUUUAAGCAUAAUGAUUUGACUAUCAAUGCUUACCUCUUUUCUCAAUUUAAUCUUUACUAUUUUUUGAGCUACAAUUAGUAAUUAACAUUUCAAAAAUAGUCAAAUAAUUUUUAAUAAAAAUAUUGACUAAAAUUAUAAAAUAUUAAUUUUAUGUUAAUAAAAUAAUUCAAUUUUAAUAAAAUAAUUAACUCAAAAAAGUAAUGUUUUAAUCAAUAAAUGAGAGCUAAAUUUAACUUAAAAAAGGAGUAAGUAUAAAUUAAAAAAUAAAAUAAAAAUUAAAGUCAAUUAAUGGUAGGGUUUCUACUAUGGUGACCACACUCAAUUUCAAAGGUCAGAGUCGACGGCAAAUAUAUCACUAUUAUUUACUUGUUUUUGCAGUUCAAACAUUAAAUUUUUGGGGUGUGAACUUUUCCAACCAAAAUUUAAUGUUUUCUUAUUGGUGUUAUGGUUGUAGACAUUAGUAUGGCAUGAACAACUCAGAUUCAACAAAUUCGAUUUAGAUUUUUUUAAAAAUAAUUUUAUUAUAAGUUUUGGUUAUAUUUGUUCUUUUUGAUACAAUAUUUAGAAGUACUCAUAGCCUCUCCCAACCCAUAAAUAAGAGGAUAAUGCGCUUCAGCACAUUUAAACCCAUAUCCUCACAUAUUAACAACAAUGCCCAUGCUAAACUCGAUUUUGAUUGAAUGUAGAGUAAUUCAUGAAAUAGAAUCAUUUAUUAUUCAGAAAAUAUUAAAAUUAUUAAUAUUAAUAUUCAUUUAUUUUUACUAUUAAAUUUAAAUAAAAUUUUAUUAUUAAAGAUAAUAUAUUAGAUCGAGUUCACUUAAAGUUUAAAGUACGUUGUUUAAAACCAACGGAUAAUUAAACAAGUGUAAGUAUUGAACAGAUAGUUUAAUUUUUGAAUAUAUAAAACAUAAAAUAUGAAAAUGUCACAAGCAACAUGUGUAGCAAAUUUUAAUUUGUGGGGCACCGAUGAAUUUGCCCUCAGUCGGUGCCUCACUUCGCUCCCCACAAUUAAAAUUUAUUAUUAACCAUAAUUAAUAAUUGUGUACUUUAAAUUUUCUUUUAUUUCUGUUAGAGUUGUGUUAUUCGAAUAUCGUAAUUUAUUAAAAAAUAAAAUAAAAAGAUAAAAUAAGGAAAUCUGUAAGAGCAAAAUAGAGAUAAUAUCCAUGAUUUAUACAAUUUUUUAUCAAAAGUUGGAGAGAAUAUUAAGAAUGAACUUCCAUCUAUAUAAAAAACAAUUAACUUACACGUGAUGACAUUGUAUAGCUAAAUUGUAGAUUAUAACUACUUACAAACUGAUUAACCAUCUUUACAAACUAAUAACUAAUCACUAGAACUAAAUAUUUCUAACUAAUUACAGUUUCUUUCUUCAACAGGAUUCCAUAAAAUAUUUAUACUUAAAAGAAAACCUUAGCAUAAAUUAUGAAAUAAAAGAAUAAGACGUUUCAUAUAAUAAUAAAAAAUUAAAAUAAAAUUUGAUAAGCAAAUUAAUUCACUACCAACAAAUAUCUCAAUUUUAAUUUCAUCAUGAAUAUAUCCAUCUAGCUUUGGACUCGAAUUAAAUUCCUUUUAACAUAUUUUAAGUUAAAUCGAAAAAUAUUUACUUGAAGUUUAUACAUUAAAUAAUUUUUAAAUAUAAUGAUAAUUUUAUCUUUUAUUAAUCAUUAUUCUAUUUAUUUUUAUCAUCUUCAAUUCUCAUAUUCAAUAAUUAUUAAUUAAAAUAGUAAAAAAAUCAAUAAGUUAUAAAAUUAUUUUAAUUAAUAUUAAAUUAAAUUAUAAAUUACAUUAUAUUCUAAUCUAAUUCUACGUUAAACAUCAGUUAUAUUUUUCGAUUAAUCUAUGUAAAUUUUUUGUUUUGAAAAUCACAAGUAGAAUCACAAUUACAAUUAUAAAAAAUACACUCGAACAAGAUUUGGACAUGAUAUUUUAAACUUCUUAAGCUUUAACCUUAUUAUUACUCAAUGCCUCAUCAGUUUUCAGUUUUUUUUUUUAAAAUGACUAAUGAUAAUUACAUAUUGUUUUUGUAUUCUAUUUAAAAUUUUUUCUUUUUAAAUAUUUUUAUGUAAAUACAUGUUAAAUAUUUAAACUUAAUUAUAUAUUAAUUUUUAUAUUUCAUUCAAUUUUUUUCAUUAAAAUCUUUUAAAUAAUUUACACAAAAAAUAAUUAAUGAAAACAUAUCAAAGAAAAUAUAUAACUAAAUUAAAUAUAGAUUUUAAAUACUUAAUAUGAAUUGAAGUCAAUAUAAUUUAUUUAUGAAUCAAAUAUAUUUAAUUUUAUAUUACUUCAAUAUGUAUUUUUUAUUAUUUUGUAAUUAAAAAUAGAGAAAUAAAUAAAAUAUAUAGAUAAAUAGUAACAAGGGUAUAAUUAUUUUUACAUUUUAAUUUUACUUAGAAUUUUUCAUUAAGCUUUUCAUAAUUUUUAAAAAUUUUAAUUAAUUCUUCACUUCUUUUCGAAGUUCUCAUUAAAUGUCUUCAUAUUUUUUUGAAACUUUUAAUUAAACCCUAAAUUUUUAAAAAAUUUCAAUUAAGCAUCCAAAACUUUUACUAGAUCUUACCUAACUCGAUCCAACUUACAUCUCUACACAACUUCACUUGUUUCCCAAACAAAGCCUUAGGUCAAACCAUGCGAUUGAGACUUGAUGUCCCUUCUCUUUGACUCAAGGGCAGCGCUAGAUUGGACCUUAAAAUGGGAAAAUUAUGCUUCAGUCCUUCUAAAAUUUAAAAAGUAUAAAUUAAUGCAUAAUAAAAUUAUAUUUUGACCUUUCAUAAAAUGAUAAAAUUUUUAAUUUAGCCAUUUUAAAAAUUGUAAACUUGCAAACUUACUAAAAACAUUACACUUGACCUCUUAUAAAAAAUUAUAAUUUAAUUUCAACUCGGACCACUCAAAAGCACAUCACAAUACAAACAUGGUUGGUCCUAACUUUCAAAACCCAUAAUACUCCCAUUUCCUAUCCCUUUCUCAGUAGUCGUAUGAAUUUUCAUUAAUACAUAAACAAUACCAUAAGUACACAAAGGCUAAAACAACCACAAAAAAAAGGAAACACCCAACGCUCAACACCCCACCCUCUCCAUUAUAACAUACGACAAUACUUGUAAUUAAAACAUUCUACGGGUUCUUCAAUGGCUGCUAUACUUAUUGUAUGUCAUGCACAUGAAAAUAUAAUAGCACGUAGAAAUUGACCAUCACUUUAUACGGGAGAAGAUCAUCACUGGAGCUCUACAAGUUAAUUUUGUUCCUUCAUCAAAUCAAAUUGCAGAUGUGCUUACCAAGCAGUUUGAAUCAUUUCGCAAAGCCCUUCGAGUUUUCAAACACAAAGAGGUUCAAAAUGUUCAAACAACAAAGAAACUGGGAGAAUGUUAGAGUAUGACUGAGCUAGGAAUUAACUUCAGCUAGAAUUCUGUUAAAGCUAAGAGUUAAGAGUUACUUACUGUUACGUAUAGUUGGUAGUUGUUAUGAGCAGUUAUCAGCUGCAUGACUUCUAUAAAUAGUGUAGUACUGAUACGACUCAAGCAUGUCUUUCAUUCAGUUGUUUUCAAUACAAGAGUUAUUUUGAUUUAGAAUUUAACAUCCAUAAUUUACAUUAUUGGGACAUGAAAUAUGAUGGUCGAACGUUUAAAAUAUUAAACGUAAAAAAAUACUAAAGAAUGUAAAAUUGUAAAACCACUUAAAUUCUACAUCAAUGUAAGUGAAUUUUUCCCCUUAAACUAAUUAAUGUAUUAAUUUUAAUAUUAAUGCUAUUAUUUAAGUACUUUACUGAGUUGGUCUUUAACCUACAACAUUUGUACAUUCUAUUAACAUCUAUACAAAAUAUAUAAACUUUGAGGCUAAAUUUAUUAUUAUACCAAUCAAAAUUAUAUACAAAUUGGUAGAAAAUAUUAACACCGUGAAGAAUUGUCACUAUAGUUACUCCAUUUAUUUGAAUUAUAUUUUUUUCAGUAUUUAAAAAAAAAAAUAAAAGGGGAGACUUAAGCUUUGGAGGUCUUAUAAAGGGUGCCGUUGACACCUUCUCCAGGCUACAUGUGUCUUUUUAUUAUUGAUUAUAUAUUACUUGGAUUUAAUCGAUCUAUUGAUGUUCCUCUCUCCCAAGUGUAGGCUGCCUAUUACGAUAAUUCAUAGGCAAGCCGCCUUUGUCAGAGUGUGAUUUCUCGACAUGAGCUUGCCUUACUGUUGGCCCGUGAGGUAAAUGUCCCAAAAUCUUUAUUGACAGUAUAUACUUUUGAUAUUAAUUUUAACUCGAAGAAAGUUUACUAGUGACGCAACGUUGCUAAAUAAACUCUUUAAGUGUUAUUGAUAAAUUUACUAGGCGUAAAUAUAAUAGUAAUAAUCAUCAUUAAAUAUUAAAAUCUCUCACGGCAUGCUGACUCAGCAGUUUCAUUUACAAUAACAUAACUACAAUCUAAACAUAAUUAAAAGACAAAUUAAUUUUGUUUAACUAAAACGACACCGUUACACUACUAAAAUGAACAUCGAACAUUGGCUACUAAUUAAUCCCUUUACAGAUUGAGCUUCACUGGAUACUUGUGAAUGCAAUCUUCCCAAGGGUUACCACAUGAGGGCUUAACAUUCUUGAGGGCCAACCAAACUGCACUGUUACAUUUGAAACCGCUCCCGAAAGCAACUUGCCAAAUACGGUCCCCUUUACGCAUCCGACCCUUCGCCUCCAUAUAAGCCAGCUCGUACCAGAUCGAACUCGAUGAGGUGUUACCGAAACGGUGGAGUGUCAUACGGGAGGCCUCGACAUGUAAUGGAGAAAGUUGCAUAUUCUUCUCGAGCUCAUCGAUCACGCCUCUCCCUCCGGCAUGGAUACAGAAAUGUUCGAACGCGAGCUUGAAAUCCGGAACAUA
rnacentral:lncRNA from 1 species